rnacentral:lncRNA from 1 species
AUUAACUGUAAUAAUGUUGUACGUUGGUUUUAGUUAUUUUCUUUAAUACUAGCCUAUUACCCAUGCAUUUGCACGAGAUCACGAUCAAAAGAAACUUCAGUGGUUAAUUUUGUUUUAGUUUUCCUCACUCAUCUCUAAAUUUUAUUUUAUUUUAUUUAUUUAUUUGUUGUUUACUGUAAUGACUUUUGUUUUUAGAGAAAUUUUAUUAACACAUCCCUAAUUACUAGAUACAUAUCUCAUUCUUAAUACACUACCUAUUGACUUUAUUAUUUUACAUUUUACUAGCACUACCAGAAGAAAGACUUUAGCCGACGAAAAAAAAAAACACAGGCCGACGAAACAAUUUUUCGUCGGCUAAAGUACACUUUAGCCGACGAAAUUUUCCUUCGUCGGCUAAAUUAUAUUUUCGUCGGCUAUAGUCAACUUUAGCCGACGAAAUUAACAUUUCGUCGGCUAAAGAAUUUUUUUUCGUCGGCUAAAGUCUGUGACUUUAGCCGACGACUUUAAACUUUCUUUAGCCGACGAAAUUUUAAUUUCGUCGGCUAAAGUUGACUACAGCCGACGAAAAUAUAAUUUCGUCGGCUAAAGUUCUUUAUAUUCGCAGAUCUGGACAGCAGCUCAUCUGAGAAAAGAAAACGGGAGAAGAAAAAACGGGAGAAAAAGUUUGGGUGUUGUUGAAAUCUGUCCAUUAUUAAGAAGUGGAGCUAUAUAUAGGUACGUACAUGUGUAUAUAUNNNN